GUGGGGAAUAUUGGGCAAUGGGCGAAAGCCUGACCCAGCAACGCCACGUGAAGGAAGAAGGUUUUCGGAUCGUAAACUUCUAUCCUUGGUGAAGAUAAUGACGGUAGCCAAGAAGGAAGCCCCGGCUAACUACGUGCCAGCAGCCGCGGUAAUACGUAGGGGGCAAGCGUUGUCCGGAAUGAUUGGGCGUAAAGGGCGCGUAGGCGGCCUGGUAAGUCUGGAGUGAAAGUCCUGCUUUUAAGGUGGGAAUUGCUUUGGAUACUGUCGGGCUUGAGUGCAGGAGAGGUAAGUGGAAUUCCCGGUGUAGCGGUGAAAUGCGUAGAGAUCGGGAGGAACACCAGUGGCGAAGGCGACUUACUGGACUGUAACUGACGCUGAGGCGCGAAAGUGUGGGGAGCAAACAGGAUUAGAUACCCGGGUAGUCC
rnacentral:rRNA from 1 species